rnacentral:tRNA from 1 species
AAACUUUAUAGUAUAAUAAGUAUAUUCGUUUUAAGCACGGAAGGUAUUUAAGUUAGAAUU